GAUGAACGCUGGCGGCGUGCUUAACACAUGCAAGUCGAACGGAAAGGCCCCAGCUUGCUGUGGUGCUCGAGUGGCGAACGGGUGAGUAACACGUGAGUAACCUGCCCUUGACUUUGGGAUAACUUCAGGAAACUGGGGCUAAUACCGGAUAGGAGCUCCUGCUGCAUGGUGGGGGUUGGAAAGUUUCGGCGGUUGGGGAUGGACUCGCGGCUUAUCAGCUUGUUGGUGGGGUAGUGGCUUACCAAGGCUUUGACGGGUAGCCGGCCUGAGAGGGUGACCGGCCACAUUGGGACUGAGAUACGGCCCAGACUCCUACGGGAGGCAGCAGUGGGGAAUAUUGCACAAUGGGCGGAAGCCUGAUGCAGCAACGCCGCGUGCGGGAUGACGGCCUUCGGGUUGUAAACCGCUUUCGCCUGUGACGAAGCGUGAGUGACGGUAAUGGGUAAAGAAGCACCGGCUAACUACGUG
rnacentral:rRNA from 1 species